CCCGUAAAACAACUCACCUUAGAAAAAAUGGAAAUUCAUUUUAGGAACCAACUACCUCCCAUUUUUCAUUACCUUUGAUCUCUUCAUUCUACGAUCAACUAUCACCAUCUUCUUCUCACCAACAACAAAAUCAGCAGAUUUUUUUCCAGCAAAAUCAAGUGAGGAGCUCUAGGAUUCCAAGGUUCUUACUGGAGUCCACUUGCACAUUUGGUUAAAAUUUUCUCCAAUACGAGGAUCGACCAUUGAACCUGGUAUAUCACUGAUCACAAAAGGGAAACGAGGUAAAUAUUAUCUUGAUGAAGCUGGAUAUGGCAUCCGAAAUGGAAUUAUUUCUCCAUAUCGUGGUGUUAGAUAUCAUUUAAAAGAGUUCACCAAUCAUCGUCCAGAAAAUGCAAAGGAACUGUUUAAUCGUCGUCAUUCAUCAUUGCGAACCACUGUUGAGCGAGUAUUUGGAAUUUUAAAGAAACGUUUUUGUGUGUCGGAUGUUGAACUAUUUUGAGAUUUUCAAACACAAGUAGUUGUAGUGUUGGCUUGUACUAUCAUCCAUAAUCAUAUAAUGGGAGUUGAUCCUUAUGAUU